rnacentral:snRNA from 14 species
UUUUUUAGCUGACAGGAGAGGCUGAUCAUGCAGUUGGUUUUCUCAGGGUGAGGCUCAUCAAUUGACUCUGAAUGUGCCAACUCCUCUAAGAUUCCCCCAAAUGUAGGCAACUCAACUGCAUAAUUGGGGUAGGGGGGUCCACACUGCACCUUU